AGGAACCAUGAGAGCUUUGGUCGCAAAGCAAGGGCAUAUUCAGCCAGGACAACAGCUGGGCCGCCUGCAUGGAACGCUCAACAAUGCGGUGGUUUCUGCUCCCAUGGUAACCGCUGCCACUGCACUUGCAACAUCCCACCUCCCUGUGUGUAAUCUCUAAGUAUCCCCCAUGUCUUCAGAGCUAUAUCCCUCUCAGAUUCAAGUCCAGAGCAAGAGCAUCUGAUAUAGUUUGGAUGUGUGUCCCUGUCCAAAUCUUAUGGUGAAUUGACAUCCCCAAUGUUGGAGCAUCCGGAGAAAUUAUUCUUGAGCUGACAGGUGCAUUAGUCCAAAAAACACUUACCUCAGUGGACCAUAACUAUGCCAGGCUGCAGGACCACCAGCGUCCAUGACAAGUGUGUCCGCAUUACUGCAAGUCUUUUGGUAGUGGUCAGAAAACAACAAUGGAGCAAUACCAUGUGGCAACAAGAGCAACAAUGGCCAAGAUAAUGGAGCUGUUCCACUGACUGCACAGGUUUUCUGGUCCUUUCUCCAUGGCAGGACAGUGACAAAGACUGACUCCUAAAGUUAAGUAAAUACCCUUGGGAUGAUAGAUAGAUAGGUAGAUAGAUGAUAGAUAGAUACAUAGAUGAUAGAUAGAUAGAUAGAUAGAUAGAUAGAUAGAUGAUAGAUAGAUAGAUAGAAGAAAUGAAAGAGAGAUAUUCUUAUGUAUUAGAGCCACAAAUUAAUUUAACUUCAAUUUUAAAAGUAUUGUUAAUUCAUUUGUACCUCCAAACUGAUGAAACAAAACAUACUGACUACAACUAUUAAACGAAGAAAGAUUACAGAAUAGUAUGCUUAGUAUAAACAUACUAUUAUAAAAUAUGUCUCAAUAUGUUCAUAGAAAAAAAUUGGAAAGCCAAAAUGUUGCUAACAGUUAUGUCAGGAUGGUGUAAUCACAGGUGAUUUUUAUUGUACUUUCCUUAUCUGUAUUGCCCGAAUUUUCUGUGAUGACUUUGUGAUUCGGUAACAAGGAAAAAAAAUUAUCGUUUUAAAUUUACCAAAGCAAUGAAUCUGUUUUCCCUUGAUGUCUUUGCUUUUUUAAGAAGCAGUGUGCAUUCUUUUCCUAAGAAAUACAAACAUUUCUCCUUUCUUUCAUUUUAGAUAAUUAGAAGACAGCUGCCAGGUUGGAGACCAUUUCAGAUGUCAAUCUGCAAAGUGGUAUGGAAAGGCAGGAAAUAAGCCAUGGAACAUUUUAAUUGCCUUCAUAACCUGGGUUACAGGAAACAGGCAUCUCCUUCAUGAUUUCUGCUUCUGAGAGGAGGGUGCUGUGGCCAAGGGCUUGGAUGCUCACAGAAUCUCCCAUCCCCUUCCAUGAGCAUUAUUGAAGAGAAGAUACCACGGAAGAAUUGUGGGAAUAAACACGGUGUCAUUCAUAUGCUCUGUGAGCUCAUCUAAGGGUCCAAGGUGCCAUCCCUUCUGCAGGAUCACUAGCAGCUGUCCAUGUGGUGCCAGCUCAACCAUCUCUAAUGGGGAAAUCAACAACUACUGAGCAGUCCUACUGGGAUAUACAAGUACCAAGUAUCAGACACAUGAAUCCAAAACUAGAUUUGCCACCCUCCCUCCCAAGAACAAUGCAUUUUCAUGUGUCCUACCAUUACUCCUACCCUGACACUUACCCACUAGACUAGAGCAUGUGAGUGACCCUGUCUCAUUUUGCUGUAUUACCAGCACCUAGAAUAGUGCAAAUAAUACAGUAGUUGCUCAAUACACACCCGUGGAACUACUAUUGAAUGAAUAA